GAUGAACGCUGGCGGCGUGCCUAAUACAUGCAAGUCGAGCGAACGGACGAGAAGCUUGCUUUUCUGAUGUUAGCGGCGGACGGGUGAGUCACACGUGGAUAACCUACCUAUAAGACUGGGAUAACUUCGGGAAACCGGAGCUAAUACCGGAUAAUAUUUUGAACCGCAUGGUUCAAAAGUGAAAGACGGUCUUGCUGUCACUUAUAGGUGGAUCCGCGCUGCAUUAGCUAGUUGGUAAGGUAACGGCUUACCAAGGCAACGAUGCAUAGCCGACCUGAGAGAGUGAUCGGCUACACUGGAACUGAGCCACGGUCAAGACUCCUACGAUAGGCAGCAGUAGGGAAUCUUACGCAAUGGGCGAAAGCGUGACGGAGCAACGCCGCGUGUGUGAUGAAGGUCUUCGGAUCGUAAAACUCUGUUAUUAGUGAAGAACAGAUGUGGAAGUAACUGUGAACAUAUUGACGGUACCUAAUCAGAAAGCAACGGCUAACUACGUG
rnacentral:rRNA from 1 species